UACGUAGGGGGCAAGCGUUGUCCGGAUUUAUUGGGCGUAAAGAGCGUGUAGGCGGCCAAGCAGGUCCGCUGUGAAAACUCGAGGCUCAACCUCGAGACGUCGGUGGAAACCGUUUGGCUAGAGUCCGGAAGAGGAGAGUGGAAUUCCCGGUGUAGCGGUGAAAUGCGCAGAUAUCGGGAAGAACACCCGUGGCGAAGGCGGCUCUCUGGGACGGUACUGACGCUGAGACGCGAAAGCGUGGGGAGCAAACGGG
rnacentral:rRNA from 1 species